rnacentral:rRNA from 1 species
UGGUGAAUAUUGCUAGCAAAGGGCGAAAGACCUGAUGCAGCAACAACCGCCUGAGGCAGAUGAAGACCUCUUGGGUCGUAAAGACUCUUCUUUGAAUGAACCAAAUGAC